CUGAAAACAUGCAUCUUGGAGAAAAUAAUGAUCACGAACAUGAAUCUAUAGCACUGUUAAACACAGGACAAAUUUUCCGAGAUGAGUAAUAACUCGUAUGGUCAUUCCCUCCUGAGGAUUACAUGCAAGAGAAUCCUACAUUAAAAUGAAACAAGGAAGCAUAAGUGUCUUAUAUUAUUUGCUGGGUCAUCCAAGUUCUCUUCACUCAGAAAUCAUCCCGGAAAUGUAAAUGUAUCAAAAGUUGCAGUCUUUCAUAUGCCAGGCAGACUCAUGCCUCUGCUUCGGGUUUCUCAAAGAAAGUUUUCUUAAUCCAGUCAAAUGGC
rnacentral:lncRNA from 1 species